UUUUAUGUCUGUAUGUAGUUUUAUUUUUUUUUUAUGGGGAUUUGAAUGUGUUGCUUGAGCCUCUUGGAAAGAGAACCACUGCCUCCUGUGAAGUUAGUGUGUGUGUUUUCCUUUUCUUUCUGCCUGUUUGUGUGUAUGUUGCGUUCAGAACUGUGGAUUUGUUUCUAGGUUUGGCAGAUGAGAUGGCUACAGAAGGAAAGCACUGCAGUAUGAGGUGGUAAAGGCCGAGGGUUGAGCGCUGAUGACCCACUCUUCUCUGAGGGUGGGAAAGCACAGUUCAGAAGGGCAAAGAUUUUCCCUGUGAAAACAUUAUCAGCCAUCUCGCCUGUUCCGUUGACUCGCAGGGAGCAGCAGUGGUCAAAGGUGUGGUUAGCGGCUUAGCUCGUCAUCCCAAGCUCUUGGUCACACACUCCUCAAUGUGGCAUUGCCUGAAGGGCACUGAUAACACGCAUUAUGUGCUUCUAUUGGUUGAUGUCCAGAAAACCAGCAAUCUCACACGGAAGAAUCUGUACAUUAGAGGAAAGGAAACAGGAGUUUAUUGAUCAACCAAAAAUGAAAACAAACUUUGACGGCAGAAGUAAAUUCAUGUCAGCGGUCAGUGAAGGGUUCCUCUGUGUCUCUUAUAGACUGUAGCUGGCAGUAGACAUGGCUUCACAGCACAGAUGAGAUGAGAUGGGAUGUGGGGCUGGAUCUAGCAGAGGAUCUAGUGAACCUCACAUUGGGUAUCCUGCAGUAACAGUCUAUGUGUGUAGUGACAGAGAUUAUCAUUUAAAGCUUUCUGUAAUCAAUUUCUUUUUAUAGAAUUUACAAUCCUGAGAUGCAAGCUCAUCACAGCCUUCUUUAACUUG